GCUGGGUGUGGUGGUGCACACCUAUAAUCCUAGCAACUCGGGAGGCUGAGGAAGGAGAAUAUCAAGUUUGAGACCAACCUCAGCAACUUAGUGAGGCCCUAAACAACUUAGUGAGACCCUGUCUCAA
rnacentral:sRNA from 1 species